rnacentral:lncRNA from 1 species
AAGAAGUAAUGAAAGUUAUCUCCAUGUUAUGUUUUCCUUGAGAUGUUUGUAUAAUUGGUAUCCUAUCACUCAUUGUUGAAAAAUGACAUAAACCUAGUUAAAAUUUACUUAUAUCGUUCUCCUUUUUGUUGAUAACAAAUGGGGAGAAAUAUAUGAAUUGAUACUAUGAGUGCCAUAUUUGAUGAGAAAUAUAUGAAUUG